UGGGGAAUAUUGGACAAUGGGCGAAAGCCUGAUCCAGCCAUGCCGCGUGUGUGAAGAAGGUCUUCGGAUUGUAAAGCACUUUAAGUUGGGAGGAAGGGCAGUAAGCGAAUACCUUGCUGUUUUGACGUUACCGACAGAAUAAGCACCGGCUAACUCUGUGCCAGCAGCCGCGGUAAUACAGAGGGUGCAAGCGUUAAUCGGAAUUACUGGGCGUAAAGCGCGCGUAGGUGGUUCGUUAAGUUGAAUGUGAAAGCCCCGGGCUCAACCUGGGAACUGCAUCUAAAACUGGCGAGCUAGAGUAGGGCAGAGGGUGGUGGAAUUUCCUGUGUAGCGGUGAAAUGCGUAGAUAUAGGAAGGAACACCAGUGGCGAAGGCGACCACCUGGGCUCAUACUGACACUGAGGUGCGAAAGCGUGGGGAGCAAACAGG
rnacentral:rRNA from 1 species